ACGGGUGAGUAAUGCCUAGGAAUCUGCCUGGUAGUGGGGGACAACGUUUCGAAAGGAACGCUAAUACCGCAUACGUCCUACGGGAGAAAGCAGGGGACCUUCGGGCCUUGCGCUAUCAGAUGAGCCUAGGUCGGAUUAGCUAGUUGGUGGGGUAAUGGCUCACCAAGGCGACGAUCCGUAACUGGUCUGAGAGGAUGAUCAGUCACACUGGAACUGAGACACGGUCCAGACUCCUACGGGAGGCAGCAGUGGGGAAUAUUGGACAAUGGGCGAAAGCCUGAUCCAGCCAUGCCGCGUGUGUGAAGAAGGUCUUCGGAUUGUAAAGCACUUUAAGUUGGGAGGAAGGGCAGUAAGCUAAUACCUUGCUGUUUUGACGUUACCGACAGAAUAAGCACCGGCUAACUCUGUGCCAGCAGCCGCGGUAAUACAGAGGGUGCAAGCGUUAAUCGGAAUUACUGGGCGUAAAGCGCGCGUAUGUGGUUCGUUAUGUUGGAUGUGAAA
rnacentral:rRNA from 1 species